AGAGUGAACGCUGGCGGUAGGCCUAACACAUGCAAGUCGAACGGCAGCACAGUGGUAGCAAUACCAUGGGUGGCGAGUGGCGGACGGGUGAGGAAUACAUCGGAAUCUACCUUUUCGUGGGGGAUAACGUAGGGAAACUUACGCUAAUACCGCAUACGCCCUUUGGGGGAAAGCCGGGGAUCGCAAGACCUGGCGCGGAUAGAUGAGCCGAUGUCGGAUUAGCUAGUUGGUGAGGUAAUGGCUCACCAAGGCGACGAUCCGUAGCUGGUCUGAGAGGAUGGAUCAGCC
rnacentral:rRNA from 1 species